GCUGUCGCUCAAUAGCAGAUCAUCUGCUUUGCAUGCAGAAGGUCGCAAGUUCAAUUCCUGACAUCUCCA
rnacentral:tRNA from 1 species